rnacentral:SRP_RNA from 1 species
AGAUAGAUGGAGAGAUAGCGGUGCUCUGUAACCCACAAUCCGCUAUAGUGGGAUCGAACGCUUGAGAGCGGUUUGAUUUUGUCAAAGAUGUGUAUCAGAUGUGCGUGAUGAAAUCAAGGUCUUAUGCAAUCAAAACCUUUGAACCAUGUCAGAGCCUGACGGCAGCAGCAUUAAGAGGGCACUUUGAUGUGAUGUAAGGUUGCUUUGGUGGAGCGCAGG